rnacentral:lncRNA from 1 species
ACAUAUAUAGAUGAGAAAAAUAAUAAAAGAUAUGAUAAGAUUCAUGCUUUGUAAAUGUGCUAUUCUCAUAAAAAAUAUUCAUAGAAUCACUUUUCAUAAAAAAGCAUGACUUUUCAUAUCAUGUUGAUCCAAGGAUUGAUUUAUGAUAAAUACAAUAUAUUUGAGUAUUUAUUUUGGUACUAAUGAGUUGUUGAUAUUUAUAUUAAGAAUAUUUUAGAAAGCUAAAGUCAUUCCUACAAAAUAUUUCAUGAAUGCCAAA